rnacentral:rRNA from 1 species
UACGGAUGGUGCAAGCGUUAUCCGGAUUUACUGGGUUUAAAGGGUGCGUAGGCGGGCCCUUAAGUCAGUGGUGAAAGCUCCGAGCUUAACUCGGAAACUGCCAUUGAUACUAUAGGUCUUGAAUUCGGUCGAGGUUGGCGGAAUGUGUCGUGUAGCGGUGAAAUGCUUAGAUAUGACACAGAACACCGAUUGCGAAGGCAGCUAGCUAGACCGACAUUGACGCUGAGGCACGAAAGCGUGGGGAUCAAACAGG